rnacentral:rRNA from 1 species
CCCUUAGAUGUCCUGGGCUGCACGCGCGCUACACUGAUGUGUCCAGUAAGCACCUAACCUCUUCCGAAAGGAACGGGUAACCUUUGCAAAGCACAUCGUGAUGGGGAUAGAUUAUUGCAAUUAUUAGUCUUGAGCGAGGAAUUCCUAGUAAGCACAAGUCAUCAGCUUGUGUUGAUUACGUCCCUGCCCUUUGUACACACCGCCCGUCGCUCCUACCGAUUGAAUGUUCCGGUGAGCUCUUCGGACUGCGCGGUCUGCAGUUUCUGCGUUCCGUGCGGAAAGUUGCGCAAACCUUAACAUUUAGAGGAAGGAGAAGUCGUAACA